AUUGAACGCUGGCGGCAGGCCUAACACAUGCAAGUCGAACGAGUGGCGGACGGGUUAGUAAUGUCUGGGAAACUGCAUGAUGGAGGGGGAUAACUACUGGAAACGGUAGCUAAUACCGCAUACCAACAGAUGGGCCCAGAGGGGAUGAGCUAGUUGGUGGGGUAACGGAUCACCAAGGCGACGAUCCCUAGCUGGUCUGAGAGGAUGACAGGCCACACUGAAACUGAGACACGGUCCAGACUCCGACGGGAGGCAGCAGUGGGGAAUAUUGCACAAUGGGCGCAAGCCUGAUGCAGCCAUGCCGCGUGUAUGAAGAGGGCCUGCGGGUUGUAAGGUACUUUCAGCGGGGAGGCGUUACCCGCAGAAGAAGCACCGGCUAACUCCGUGCCAGCAGCCGCGGUAAUAC
rnacentral:rRNA from 1 species